AUUGAACGCUGGCGGAAUGCUUUACACAUGCAAGUCGAACGGCAGCACGAGGGCAACCUUGGUGGCGAGUGGCGAACGGGUGAGUAAUACAUCGGAACGUGCCCAGUCGUGGGGGAUAACGUAGCGAAAGCUACGCUAAUACCGCAUACGAUCUAUGGAUGAAAGCGGGGGACCGCAAGGCCUCGCGCGAUUGGAGAUGGGCGUGCGUCCUAUUAGCUAGUUGGUGAGGUAACGGCUCACCAAGGCGACGAUAGGUAGGGGGCGUGAGAGCGUGGCCCCCCACACGGGUACUGAGACACGGACCCGACUCCUACGGGAGGCAGCAGUAAGGAAUAUUGGACAAUGGGCGCAAGCCUGAUCCAGCCAUCCCGCGUGCAGGAUGACAGCCCUACGGGUUGUAAACUGCUUUUGUUAGGGAAGAAACCCCUCGAUUUAUCGGGGGCUGACGGUACCUUUCGAAUAAGCACCGGCUAACUCCGUG
rnacentral:rRNA from 1 species